UAAAGCGUGUGCCAUGAAUUGCCAGUAUCGGCAGCGCCUCACGGGUACUGGCUUGACUGCGUCUCAGCCCUGCAAACCAAGUGCC
rnacentral:tRNA from 1 species